rnacentral:rRNA from 1 species
UACGGGGGGGGCAAGCGUUGUUCGGAAUUACUGGGCGUAAAGGGCUCGUAGGCGGCCAACUAAGUCGGAUGUGAAAUCCCCAGGCUUAACCUGGGAACUGCAUCCGAUACUGGAUGGCUUGAAUUCGGGAGAGGGAUGCAGAAUUCCAGGUGUAGCGGUGAAAUGCGUAGAUAUCUGGAGGAACACCGGUGGCGAAGGCGGCAUCCUGGACCAUUACUGACACUGAAAAGCGAAAGCCAGGGGAGCAAACGGG